CGCGUUAUAACGGUCAAACUGGUAAAACCCAACGUUGUGGCGACAAAGACGCCGAAGCGAGGUGAAUUGAAUUCACUUUAACUGUAUUCUGGACUCUAUUCUGCAACCCUGAUGCACUUUGUAUGGGCACAAUAUGAAGACAAACAGACAGACCUACACUUGAUGUAUGGCAUCUUACACCUGCAUCUCCAACUCUCUUGUUGUCUUCCAUUCCAGGAUCCAAAAGACUUAAGUCUCAUCAAU